AGAGUUUGAUCCUGGCUCAGGAUGAACGCUGGCGGCGUGCCUAAUACAUGCAAGUCGAACGCACAGCGAAAGGUGCUUGCACCUUUCAAGUGAGUGGCGAACGGGUGAGUAACACGUGGACAACCUGCCUCAAGGCUGGGGAUAACAUUUGGAAACAGAUGCUAAUACCGAAUAAAACUUAGUGUCGCAUGACACAAAGUUAAAAGGCGCUUCGGCGUCACCUAGAGAUGGAUCCGCGGUGCAUUAGUUAGUUGGUGGGGUAAAGGCCUACCAAGACAAUGAUGCAUAGCCGAGUUGAGAGACUGAUCGGCCACAUUGGGACUGAGACACGGCCCAAACUCCUACGGGAGGCUGCAGUAGGGAAUCUUCCACAAUGGGCGAAAGCCUGAUGGAGCAACGCCGCGUGUGUGAUGAAGGCUUUCGGGUCGUAAAGCACUGUUGUAUGGGAAGAACAGCUAGAAUAGGAAAUGAUUUUAGUUUGACGGUACCAUACCAGAAAGGGACGGCUAAAUACGUGCCAGCAGCCGCGGUAAUACGUAUGUCCCGAGCGUUAUCCGGAUUUAUUGGGCGUAAAGCGAGCGCAGACGGUUUAUUAAGUCUGAUGUGAAAGCCCGGAGCUCAACUCCGGAAUG
rnacentral:rRNA from 1 species